UGGGGGGGCUAGGAUGAAAAAUUUUGUCAUGCAUUUUAUUUUAGCUGUAAUUUCUGUCCUGCCUUUUUAUUUUUCACUCUGUUCGGUCCUGCCUUUUUUUUUUAGUUUAUCCUGACUUUUUUUUUACCUAAAUUGUCGUCCUGACUUUUUUUUUUUGCAAGUGUCUCAUCCUGCCUUUUUUUUUUACUCAAAACUCCUGUCCUGCCUAUUUUUUUCAAAUUUCAUCCUAGCCCCCCAUAAAAAUCAAAUGGUAGCUCCCUUACU
rnacentral:lncRNA from 1 species